CUGGCUCAGGAUGAACGCUAGCUACAGGCUUAACACAUGCAAGUCGAGGGGCAGCGAGAUUGAAGCUUGCUUCAAUUGUCGGCGACCGGCGGACGGGUGCGUAACGCGUAUGCAACCUACCCAUAACAGGGGGAUAACACUGAGAAAUUGGUACUAAUACCCCAUAACAUUCCGAGUGGCAUCACUUGGGGUUGAAAGCUACGGUGGUUAUGGAUGGGCAUGCGUUGUAUUAGCUAGUUGGUGAGGUAACGGCUCACCAAGGCGACGAUACAUAGGGGGACUGAGAGGUUAACCCCCCACAUUGGUACUGAGACACGGACCAAACUCCUACGGGAGGCAGCAGUGAGGAAUAUUGGUCAAUGGACGGAAGUCUGAACCAGCCAUGCCGCGUGCAGGAUGACGGCUCUAUGAGUUGUAAACUGCUUUUGUACGAGGGUAACCCCGGGUACGUGUACCCGGCUGAAAGUAUCGUACGAAUAAGGAUCGGCUAACUCCGUGCCAGCAGCCGCGGUAAUACGGAGGAUCCAAGCGUUAUCCGGAUUUAUUGGGUUUAAAGGGUGCGUAGGCGGUUAGAUAAGUUAGAGGUGAAAUUCCGGUGCUUAACACCGGCGCUGCCUCUAAUACUGUUUGACUAGAGAGUAGUUGCGGUAGGCGGAAUGUAUGGUGUAGCGGUGAAAUGCUUAGAGAUCAUACAGAACACCGAUUGCGAAGGCAGCUUACCAAGCUAUAUCUGACGUUGAGGCACGAAAGCGUGGGGAGCAAACAGGAUUAGAUACCCUGGUAGUCCACGCAGUAAACGAUGAUAACUCGUUGUCGGCGAUACAAUGUCGGUGACUAAGCGAAAGCGAUAAGUUAUCCACCUGGGGAGUACGUUCGCAAGAAUGAAACUCAAAGGAAUUGACGGGGGCCCGCACAAGCGGAGGAACAUGUG
rnacentral:rRNA from 1 species